CAAUCUAACCUAUGGAUGAGGAUAACCUCGGGAAACUGAGAAUAAUACUCAAUAGAUCAUUAUACCUGGAACGGUUUAUGGUUCAAAUGAAUUUCGCCAUAGGGUGGGACUGCGGUCUAUCAGCUUGUUGGUGAGGUAAUGGCCCACCAAGGCUAUAACAGAUACGGGCUCUGAGAGGAGAAGCCCGGAGAUGGGUACUGAGACACGGACCCAGGCCCUAUGGGGCGCAGCAGGCGAGAAAACUUUGCAAUGUGCGAAGGCACGACAAGGUUAAUCCGAGUGAUUCCUGCUAAAGGAAUCUUUUGUUAGUCAUAAUACCACUGAUGAAUAAGGGGUGGGCAAGUUCUGGUGUCAGCCGCCGCGGUAAAACCAGCACCUCAAGUGGUCAGGAGGAUUAUUGGGCCUAAAGCAUCCGUAGCCUGCUCUGUAAGUUUUCGGUUAAAUCUAUAUGCUCAACAUAUAGGCUGCCGGAAAUACUGCAGAGCUAGGAAGUGGGAGGGGUAGACGGUACUCCGUAGGAAGGGGUAAAAUCCUUUGAUCUAUGGAUGACCACCUGUGGCGAAGGCGGUCUACCAGAACACGUUCGACGGUGAGGGAUGAAAGCUGGGGGAGCAAACCGGAUUAGAUACCCGGGUAGUCCCAGCUGUAAACUAUGCAAACUCGGUGAUGCAUUGGCUUGUGGCCAGUGCAGUGCCGCAGGGAAGCCGUUAAGUUUGCCGCCUGGGAAGUACGUACGCAAGUAUGGAACUUAAAGGAAUUGGCGGGGGAGCACCACAAGGGGUGAAGCCUGCGGUUCAAUUGGAGUCAACGCCAGAAAUCUUACCCGAGGAGACAGCAGAAUGAAGGUCAAGCUGGAGACUUUACCAAACAAGCUGAGAAGUGGUGCAUGGCCGUCGCCAGCUCGUGCCGUGAGAUGUCCUGUUAAGUCAGGUAACGAGCGAGAUCCCUGCCUCUAGUUGCCACCAUUACUCUCAGGAGUAGUGGGGCGAAUUAGAGGGACCGCCACAGUUAAUGUGGAGGAAGGAAGGGGCCACGGCAGGUCAGUAUGCCCUGAAACCUUGGGGCCACACGCGGGCUGCAAUGGUAGUGACAAUGAGUUCCUAAUCCGAAAGGAGGAGGUAAUCUUCAAACGCUACCACAGUUAUGAUUGAGGGCUGCACUCGCCUCAUGA
rnacentral:rRNA from 1 species